rnacentral:sRNA from 1 species
GAUACCAGGGUCCCAAGGUCGAAAAUCCGCUGCAAACUUGCUUGUAAAAGGAUUUUCAAUCUUGGGACCCGCCAAAAACAUGAAUAAGCAGCCAUUUUUCGCAGAAAAAUGAGCGGAUUAUGAAUGUUUUUGAGGCUUGUGGAAGUGCGGAGCACGGAACAAGCCGGU